GGCCGGUUAGCUCAGCUGGUUAGAGCGUGGUGCUAAUAACGCCAAGGUUGUGGGUUCGAUCCCUAUACUGGCCA
rnacentral:tRNA from 2 species